AUCCUGUUGACGAGUCCCGAAUCGGACGUAACAAGUGUCCUGGAU
rnacentral:hammerhead_ribozyme from 1 species